UUUGGCCUUAAGAGUUCCUUGAAACAGAAGAGGCAUUUCGUCCGCCAAACGAGAUCGGUAACUUUCAAGCAUAGGACUCAUAAAGUGAACUUCCUUAUGCGGCCAAGCACGAAUGAUCAAACAUGCCCGCACUUAAGUUAUCACUCGUCAUCAAGAGCAACGACUUGGGGGGCUACUGUUCUGGACCGGCCAAAAGGAUGUUUGGCCCAUUUACGUAGUCCCAAUACAAUCCAAAGCCCAAACGCCACGUUUGGUAUAGUUACUUGCGACACACCCCUUUACCCACAAGGGGGGGGGGGGGGGGCAUGGAGCAAGCGAGACUGGUUCAAACGAAACACAACGUCUCUCUGCACGUUCCCGCAAUAAACUCUCUGGCGGUUACACUUCCCACGAUUUCGUAACCGCUAGAGCCAGGUGUGCCUCUACAACGGCUCUGCAGCCCUCCACCUUUAUAAAAAGGGGACUCAAAGUAGUCCCCAAGGUAAAAUCUAUCUCUUCCUCUAAACCCUCACUCUCUCUGAUCUCUACUUACUUGAGCGUCGGAGUGCCUAUAGGUACACACCCCCCAUCCGCUCCAAGAAGCAUAUUGACACAUUCCACCACCACUUAAACCACCGCAUUCAAAGCAUCGGCAGUCACCUUCUGAUCAGGUACGAUCACCUAUAUUAUUUUCCUAUCCUCUCAUUUUUUCUAGAAAUAUGGACCAAUAACAUUAACACACAUAAUUACUUAUUUUUUUCCCCACUCAAAUUAAAACAUUAUCCUCAAAAUACUCAUACUAAAAUACUAGCAUUUUAGACAACAAUUAAAAUAUUGGCUAUGACUUCUCACUAGAUUCUCAACCAACACCUUCCAGCCCAAAUCCAAAUCUGUCCUUCAUAAUGUAGCCUCUGAUGAUGGCAACGGUCUACCCAGCCCUUGUGGCAACACCUCCAUCAAACCCCAUUUGGGCUUGGUCAAAAUGAGCACUGAAUGAAAUAGGAUUUUUAUUUUAUUCUUACUUGUUUUAGUUUUAAACUCUUACUUUUUGCAUCAUCUGAUGGAUAAAAUGUUGGUGAUUUGAUUUGUUGUUGUUUUUAGUUUUUGCCUAACUUGUCAUAAUGGUUUGCGGAUCAUUUUAUCGCCGAUCAAUAACAUCUGUGAACCUCUUUGACUUUGCAGAGGUUUUCUUGGUUAGCGAAUGUUUAGUGAUUUUUGGGGUUUGAGCAGACAGAUCUUUGGCUGGAGUGUUUAUUGUUUGUUGGGUUCUAAUUGUUUAUUCGGAUUUGGUUCUAGAUUCGCAACGACGGUGACUCACACCAUCGUUGCUGUUGUUUAAGUCAUUGUUCUACAAAAUGUUAGACAAAGGACUGUUAGGCUAGAAAUAUCCACGAAUACUUGUUUUUUUUUUUUUGUUACAAUGGGUUGUCGGUGAGUGAGCCUGUUUACUGUAUUGACGUUUGGGUUCACUCGUCCCUCUCAAGAUCUUGGUUCAGUGCUGGUAAACGGUCAUAAACCUAUUUUUAUUUCAAUUUGGUUUCAUGCCUGUACACGAUAGGUUCACUAAAUUGUGCAUUGGUGUGCAAUAGUUUUCCUGCUUCAAACUUAGAUUACUAAUUACUUGACCUUUAGGGCUGUUUAGUAUCACCUAUUUGGGUUGUUAUUAUUUGUUUUAAUUUAAUCUACGUUAGAUAUUGCAGAUCCAUCAUCACCUAUUUGUCUUUAAAAAAAAUAGACAAAUGUAAUAUCGAUGCAUUAAAUUAAACACUAAAUCAAAUUGAAAGCAUGUGGAAACACAACAUGAUCAGUACACAUACAAAGUAAGUAAAUAAGAAAUAAUAUCAUGAAAUAAAUAGCACACAUAUAUCCAGAAAAUCGCUUGAAAUAAUAACUAACGAUUAUAGGGUGAACAUAGAUAUAUGAAAAAAGUGUUUUUGGAACAUCAGAGGUGUUGCAUGAUUGACUCGAGGAUGUGUGGUUUCUCAUGUGCGGUGUUUUAGUUGAAAAUUUUACUUACUUUCGUCCCAUAUUUCUAAAGUUUCUAGAUUCAUAGUCCAUAUAUGUUUUCCUCGUAAUAUAUUUAAAUGUUUUUCCUUUAAGAGUAUUUAGAUUUUUUUUUAUUGGCUGGAACACGCCUUAUACUCAUUAUAUAUAUAUAUAUAUAUAUAUAUAUAUAUAUAUAUAUGUAUGUAUGUAUGUAUGUAUGUAUUUGUGUCUGUUAAAAAUAUUUAGCAUACAUUUAAGGCUAUCAAAGAAAUUGAAAAUUCAGAAAUAUAUAUGAAUAUGUAAGAGAAAUUAUAAUAGUAACACCAUUAGUGUGAGCAAAUAAAGCGAAAUUUAAACGUAAUAGAGAAAUUUCAUUACCUUAACAACUUUGAGGUGUUUACAAUAACCUUUCACGCACCUCAUAACAAUAUCCUUUAACGCACUUGUAUAACCUUUCAGGAGCAAACAUAAAUGUUGUAUAACAAUCGCUAGUACUUUAACAUCGCACUGUAAUGUUGGACAAAGAUAAAGAAAUAUUAAAAAAAAAAAAAGGGUAAAAUAUUAUAUAUAAAAUCAACAAAAAAUGAGAAUGAAGACAUGACAUAACCCAAAACUGAUAUGCCGUCAACAACAACAAGACAUAGGAAACCCAAAAGGAUCACAAUAUAAACAAUUUUGAGAGUUUCAGCCAUUUAUUUUCACCUGUUCAUGUAACAUAUUUAAAAUGGUUUGAUCACAUUAUAUACUAAAAUCCCUCUAUUUACUUUUACAUGAAUUGAAUAGUUUUUAAUAAAUAUGUUGUUGGAAGAAACUUGUCUUUAAAAUUAGAAAAAAAAAUAUUAAAUGUCUCUAAAUUAUAUUGUUUAAUCAUAUUUGACCCUUUAACUCAUUUAAUAUGUACCCUAAUUUUUCAAAUAAUUACGGUUCAUUUUUAUUCACCAACCUUUUAUUAUUAUUAUUAUUAUUAUUAUUAUUAUUAUUAUUAUUAUUAUUAUUAUUAUUAUUAUUAUUAUUAUCUAUUCUUUCAUAAUAGGGAGAAAAAAAUCAACUUUAUAUUAUGUUGUACGUGAUAACUGCAAUUUCUAGCAUCAAAGUAUUGAGUUUAUUGAUCCACAAAGACAUGGAAAACGAACCAUUCAUCUAUUUUGAUAAUCAAAAUUGAUCCUAGCAUUCCUUUUAUCUUGCAAUUUCAAAAUGGGAACUUUGAGUUUAUAGAUCCACCAAGACAUGAAAAAUUCAUCUAUUUUCGUAAAAACGACAUCAUUAAAUAACAAUGGAAACACAUACAUGUCCGCCAACAAUGGCUAAUUUUGUGGCAAUUGCAAUCGGUGAGAAGUAACCAUAUAAAAUAUUGAUUGUACGACAACCAUUGAAUUUAGCAAUAACAAAAAGGGAAAUAAUCAAUUAAUGAAUAAAAAGUAUAGACGAAAAGGUAACACAUCAACUGAUGAAUAAAAAGGCAAAGAAUCAAAUUUAAUACAUUGGAUAUUCUAUAUUAUGGCUUCUAUUUUUAUUUUAUAAAAUGAAUUGAUUUUUACAUGAUUAUGUUGCAUUAUGCCAAUGUGGCACGUCCAUGUAACAAUGUCACCCUUUGUUUAAAACCUCUUCUUAGGUUGGCAUCCUUUCUACAUGACAAAAGUCUCGAUGUAAGCUCAAUAUUAAUUACAUUAGUUUAUUUUUAAUUCCAUUUUUGAAUAAGCACUUUCACUUUUUUUGUAGUAUAUUUUUUUCCUUUUCGUAAUAGUCACUCAAUAAGAAUGAUGCAUGUGAGGUGAUGAUGGAAUAACAUAUGAUCUUUUUAACUAUGUUUUUUGUAUUUUUCACUCGGGUCAAAAACAACUGAAAUCGCACCUGAGGGGCUGGCUAUGUGCUCAUAUGAAUGGAGGAGCUUUAUCUACUUCCCCUUGCGUCUCACACAUCGACCAGACUAGGGAGUGUUGAUUGGUAAGUAGCUUUUGGUGUAAAAACCCUAUUUUCACUCUCUCAACCCCUAAGAAACCUUGAACUACAAAUAGAGACCGUUGCACACACUUUAACUCAUUCAGAAAACUAACGGUGGCAAGGCAAGGGUCAAGCAUCAAGAGCUUCAAGGAAGAGGAUCUCCAUCAUCCUCUUGUUCUCUCUAGGGUAUAUUUUUCUAUUAUUUUGUGAUGAUGUCAGCUUCCAUGAGCAACUAAACCUCUUUAAUUCGUAUAUAUAUGUUUCUCUACCACAUCCUAGAUGGAGCAAUAUUAGGAUUAACAACCCUCGCCUCUAAUAAAAAAAAAAAACAGUAGUGAAUUGGUUGGUUUAUAAUAUAAUUGAAUCUUAGUAUGAAUUUAAGGUUAUACCUCAUCUUUAGGGAUCCUCAUAAUUUUCAAGGGAGAAUUGCAGAGAAAGCUACAAAGAUGAGAAAAACACAAGAAAAUGGUUGAAUUGUGUUGGCAUUUCUAACAUUUUCAAAUUGUUUCACAAGUCAUAGUCUGAAUGAGAGAGGUAGAGAGAGAGAGAGAGAGGGAGAGAGAGAGAGCGAGGGAGGGGGAGAGAGAGAGAGAGAGCGAGGGAGGGAGAGAGAGAGAGAGAGAGAGAGAGAGAGAGAGAGUUCCAAUGGAUAUUCACUAUAAUCGCAACUGAUCACAAUUGCUCAAGAACACAACCAAGAGACUUCCUAUGCUAAAGCAGACAAGCAAGAGACUUCUAAAUGCUCAAUCAAAACUAAAUAGAUUGUAACGUCCAUGAUUUUUAUCCAAGACAUUACUUAAAAACAUUCAUUUUCUUUAGAAAAUAUGAUGCUAUUUUUUUAAGGGUUAAUAGGUCUUUACCCCCUGUAAUAUAGGGCACUUUUGGUUUUGCCUCCUGUAAAUUAUUUUUUUUUAGAUUCCGUCCUUGUAAAAUGAAGAUUCUUCACGAUUGCCCCCUAAGCCCAAUAACUCAGCAUAAUCUUUGAUGUGCCACCUAAAUGGCUUUUUCAUUUUUUUUUUGCUUGCCACGCGUAAAAAAUAGUUUACACGUCAUUUUUAUUUAAAAAAAUUAAAAUAUAAAAUAAAAUUUAAAUAAUCGAAAAUCAUUUUUUAAAAAAUCUGAAAAUUAAUUUUCAAAAUUUUAAAAAAUUUGAAAAAAUUCAAACUAUUUUUUUAGAUCGAAAAAAAAUUAGAUUUUUUUUCCAAAUUUUUUUUUUCCGAAAUAGAGAAUUGUGUUAUCUUUUUCGAAAUUAAAAAAAAUGCAGAUUUUUUUUUAAAUAAAAAGGUUUUUUUAAUUUUUUCUACAAAGAAUGAAAAUUCUGGAAAAUAUUUUAAUUUUUAAAAACUUUUUUAUUUCGAAAAAAUUUUCUAUUUCGGAAAAAAAUCUAAAUGUUUUUUAAUUGUUGGAAAAAAAAUCUAAUUUUUUUUCGAUUUAAAAAAAUAGUUUGAAUUUUUUGAGAUUUUUUAAAAUUUUAAUAAUUAAUUUUCAGAUUUUUUAAAAAAUGAUUUUCGAUUUUUUAAAUUUUAAAUUUUAAUUUUUUUAAAUAAAAAUGACGUGUAAACUAGUUUUUACGCGUGGCAAGCAAAAAAAAAAUGAAAAAGCCAUGUAGGUGCCACAUCAUAGAUUAUGCUGAGUCAAUGGGCUUAGGGGGCAAUCGUGAAGAAUCUUCAUUUUACAAGGACGGAAUCUAAUUUUUUUUUUUUACAGGGGGCAAAACCAAAAGUGCCCUAUAUUACAGGAGGGUAAAGAUUUAUUAACCCUUUUUUUAAAAUAAACUAUUAAAUGAAACUGAUAGAAAGAUAAGCUAUUUAAUUAAAUUGAUAGAAAAUUACUAUUUACAAUUUUUUAAUAGAAGAAAAUAAUACACUUCAAAAAUACUUAUAAAUUACAUAUACAAUCUAAUAAACGCAUUUUUGUUCCCGCGUAUGCUUCAAUCACACAUCAACUUCAUAUUUCUUUCGUUGACACCUACAAUAUUUUAUUAAUGUAAGGGUCAAUUUUCUUAUCUAAACUGGUUCAUACUCAAAGCACAAGAAACAAUGUUAUAAAGUAGAUAGUAUCAAAACUUCUUAAUCAAAAAGAAAUAAAUAUACAGCCAACUCAUAUAAGAAAAGGUUCAUAAACAUUUCUAUUUAAAUAAGAGAAGUUAAUCAAUUAAUACCACACAAUAUAUAAUGGAUUUAAAUGCAAUUAUGUAUAAGAUGCAUGUUCCUGAUAACUAAAUGAUCUGGAUAUAGUCAUCCCGCCACUAAAGCAUCGCACAUAAUAUUUAACCCGCCACACAUGCAUCACACACAAUAUACACAUGUCAUGCAUGAUGAUGAAAAGAAAUUUACCCGUCACAAAGACAUCGCAUAGAAAAUGCAUAAUGAUAAUAAAACAUAAUUCCCACCACUUAGGGAAACACCGUCAAAAUAAAAUACAUGCCACAUAGGCAGACUAAGAGAAAGUACAUAUACCACAUAAUAAGCAACAUAAUUAGGUUUUCAAAAUUCAUAUCAUCACUUUCAGACAUAAUAUUUAUUCAAACUUUAAUCACUUAAAUAUAUAAUUUAAUUGUUUUUCUUUUUCUUUUUAACCGAUUAGAAUUUCAACCACUAUUUCAUAAGAGAGUCCUAGCACUUAGUAAGGAUGCAUGGGAAAAAGCCCUUGCUUUGGAUGCCUUACUUCACAGUUGACACACUAGAAUUUACAAAGUACACCAUCCGGUCACUAUCAUAAGUAAAAUUUUACAUUUUAAAUUUAUUCAAUUAAUGAUGUAUAUAGUCUUUAUCAUAAACCACAUACAUCAUUUAAUGAAUGAAUCUAAAAUGUAAAGUUUUGCUUAUAAUAAUGACCGGAGUGUGUACUCAGAAAGGAAGAAGGCCAAGAGAGGAAAUUAAAGAAAAACGGAUUACUAGAUGAUCAUCAGAGGGGCUUAAAAACUUAUUUUAGAUUUACACAAGAAUGGUGGUGAGUACGGUUUAGAGUGGUUAUGUCCUAUGAAUAUAAAAUGAGGGGUUAAUAGUGUUUUUCAUCCCUGUAAUAUAGGCCAUUUCCAGUUUUCUCCCCUAUAAAAUUUUCGGUUUGAUUUGCAUCCUUGUAAAACUUUUUUUCUUUCGGAAAAUACCCCUCCUCCAUCCAACUCAUCAAAUACGCAUAUGUGGCGCUGACUUGACUUUUUUUUUAAUUUUUAUUUAUUAUUAAUUGUCUACAGUAAAAACGAUAAGAUUUUUUUGAAAUAUCGGUUUUUUUUUAAUUCAAAAAUUAAAAAAUCACAAAAAACGAAUUUGAGGUUUUAAAAAAAAAAAAAAACAGUUUUAAAAUUUUUUCUACACAAAAAAAAAUUCUGGAAAAUGUUUUAUUUUUAAAAAUCUGGAUACAAUUUUUUAAAAAAUUUAGAAGAAAUUCAGUUUUUUUUUUUUAAAGAUUCUGGAGUUUAAUUUUCAAAAUAAAAUAAAGUUAAAUUAGAAAAAACAUAUUCAAAAUUUAAAAAAAAAAAGUCAUAUUUUUUUCCCGAAAAAAAAACAGUUUUAAAAUUUUUUCUACAAAAAAAAUAUUCUGGAAAAUGUUUUAUUUUAAAAAUCUGGAAACAAUUUUUUAAAAAAUUUAGAAGAAAUUCAGAUUUUUUUUUCGAAAAUCUUAUUCCAGAUUUUUUGAAUUUUUUUUAAAGAUUAAGGAGUUUAAUUUUCAAAAUAAAAAAAAGUUAAAUUAGAAAAAAAAGAUUCGAAAUUUAAAAAAAAAACUCAUAUUUUUUUCCUGAAAUAAAAAACAGUUUUAAAAUUUUUUCUACAAAAAAAAAUUCUGGUAAAUGUUUUAUUUUUAACAAUCUGGAUACAAAUUUUUUAAAAAAUUUAGAAGAAAUUGAGAUUUUUUUUUCAAAAAUUUUAUUCCAGAUUUUUAUUAAAUCAUUUUUGAAAUUAAAAUUUUAGAAAAAAAUUAUUUUCUAAUUUAAACAAAAAAUUAAAAAUUUGGAAAAUAUUUUUCGUAAUAAAAAAAUCCUGAAUUUUUUUAUUUUCAAAAAUUAAUUUUCAAAUUUUUAAAAUUUAUUUUAUUUUUAAAUUAAUAUAAAUGAAUUUAUAUUAUAAUUUUUUUUUAAAUAUAGUCACAAAUGCCACAUGUAGCCUUAGAAAAAUAAAAAAUAAAAUUAAUUAUACAGUCAACAUGCCACACAGUGAACCACGUCAGCAAAUAUGUACAGUCAUUUGGGGAGGGGUGUUUUCCGGAAAAAAAAAUUUUACAAGGAUGCAAAUCAAACCAAAAAUUUUAUAAGGGUGAAAACCGGAAAUAACCUAUAUUACAGGGGUGAAAAACACUAUUAACCCUAAAAUGAGUGUUGAGAGAUGUUACACAAAUCUAGAUUUUGUAUGAAUAAUAAUAGGCAUACGUUACAACAGGUAAGAUCUUUAUUUUAUUUUAAGGUAUGAAACUAGAGACAUUGAAAAAGCACAAAAAAUCGGAUAUUGAAACAACUUUAGAUUUCAUGAAGUGUGCCUAACCAAUAACAAUCAAUAAUUGGGGAACCAAUUUGGAAGCAAUACAAGUUAAAAAUAAUGAUUUGAUAAUCAACUGUUCUUAAUCCCAAAUUUUCAUAGAAAUCAAAACCAACAAGCCUUAGAAUUAUCAAUUUCAUCAAAACAAUUCCAAGGCAUGACAAUUUUAGUAAACCCUAAUUCCCAAAUCAUAGAACAAAUUGUGAAAGAAUAAAAAGAAUCAAAAUACCUUUGUGGGAGAACAACAGCGAGUGAUGACAUCAGCAAGUGACAGCAGUGAAUGACAGACGGAGAGAGUGAGUGACAGAGGUUCAAUGACAACAGCGAGUGGCGGAGGUUUUCGGAGAGAGUUCGAUAUUGAGAGAGAAAGUGAGAAAGGUUUUUAUGUAACUAUUAAUAAAUUAAAGAGGAGAAGUUAAUUUCCUGAAAGAAAAGAAGGGAAAGUUUUUAUUUUGACAACAAAAAGCGAAAAAUCCUUAGGUUGGGUGGUUAACAAACCGAAUUAAGUAAAUGACUUCUUAAGUCAGUUGGUCAAUCAAGCGACUUGAUAAAUUUAUUAUAAUUUUAUCUUGUCAAUACUCUAUCAAACUUCUUUCAAAAAAAAAAUACUCUAUCAAACUUAGGUCUGAUAAUCUUAUAACUAACUUAAGAAAGUUUGAAAGAAUUGCGAAACUACCACCGCAUCACUUGUUAAGCCGGGUGGCAGAGCGAACCGACUUAAGCACGUUUCUAAAAAGUAUUUUUUGUACUAGGAAUUCACCGCAAAGAGGUCUCUGAAAGGGGAUUUACCUCCUAAUUUUAUUUAGCACACUAUUCGGAGGUUAAGUUUCAUCUCUCUUAUUUCAAAUUGUACUCUUAUCGACAAAAUGACGAACCUUUUUUAUUUUGAUUUAUGACAAUUUAUAUAUUAUGUCACAUGUAAAUUUGCGGUCAAAAUUUUGCUCAGACUCGAUAAAAUUUCUGACUCCGCCACUACUUAAAUACAAUUUGGUACACUUGCCGAUAGAUACACCAUCAAGUUAUUCUGAAGUCUGAUUAGCGUUCACUUAAUUAACAAACAUAACCCUAAAUUCCCAUGAAAUUCUUCAUGUGGUCACCAUAUAGAGUGGAUAAGGAUUUCUAUUUGUUUUGAUUAGCACAUUUUUAAUGGCCAUAAGUUGACCUUGUCCUAAACACUCAUCCAAUAAAUCUUCCAAAAGUAGCAAACAAUUUAUGUUUCAAAUCUAUCACGCGUAUAACUAAAUAUUAAGAUGUUAGGACACAAAUAUCAACCUCAUUGAACUGUCUCAUCAUAUACGUUCCUAUCUCUCCCUUUCACAAUUAUUAGGCUACUAGGCUCUAGGGACAUAUAUUCCCAUAUUGAAAGAUAGCGUGCUACCGACGUCGUGGUGCCCUAAAAUUUGUUUAUUAAUUUCCAUCGCUACGUCGUCUUGGUGCCACUUUAAGGAAAGAAAAUAAGCACAUGAUAAACACUCAGUUCAUUUGCAGAACUGUUCUUCAGAUAUUGAGUCAGUUAUAGAUUUAGUGUUCUAUUUUUUAUAAAUCAGAUAAAUAUUAUGUAUGAUGAAAUUCUCUCAAAUAAAAAUAUUGAUCUUCAACUUUUGAUAUCCAACUGCAUAAAAUAAUCUUUCGAUACAGAUAGGAUCACUAUGUAUGAAAAAACUCUCAUUCAAGAGAUUCAACAUUAUUGUCUGUGUAAAUCUAGCCAAAUUUUUUUGAGGUGCCAUAAAAAUAGGAAAAAAAUUUACAAAUCUUAACUUGGUAUUUUCAUUCUUGACAAAACUCUUUAAUUAUAAUAUAAUUUUUGCUUAAUUACAUAUUUGGUGCCUUAAUUAAUUUAUAGGUUUCACUUUGUUUCCUUAAUUAAUAAAAGUUACGUUUUGGUCCCUUAAAUAUGCUUCUGUUAGCCAAUUUGGUCUCUCACCAUUAAUUUUAACCAAAAAUGUCUAUGAUGGACCAACAUCGUAGGUGGUCCACCGUGGGUGAAGAUCCUCUCCAUUUGGCAAAAUAAAUGGAGAUUUGCAAGUUGGAGAGAGAUAGAUACAAAAAAUAGAUGGUGGGUCCUACCACUAAGUGGGUCCCACCAUCAUUAAUUAUAUUUUAUUUUUUUCAAGAUUUUAUGUGUCUUUAUCUCUCCAAAUGGAAGAAAUCGAGAAACAUAUAAAUGGAGAGAUCUUCACCCGUCCACCGUAGACCUUAUUAAUUUAUUUAAUUUUAGCCUUUUGAUCAUUUUGACACAAAAUAGACCAUUAGAUCAUGCAAGACUAUUGAAUCUAAUAAUAAACCACCAACAUAUGAUUUUUCUUUCCUUUUAUUCAUCUUCUUCCAUUUAUUUCUUCUUCAUCUUCAUCACAUUCAUCCACGUUCAUACACAUUCAAAUCCAGAAGAAACAAAAUGAAAACUCAAAUUCACUUUUCAAUAUUCUUCUCCCAAAACUCACAAAUCUCCAAAUUAUUUAAUCUUUAACUUACAAAUUCAUACAUUCAUCAACUCAAAAACAAUAACUAAUAAUUUCAUCACUACAUCACCAUUAUAACCAACAACAACUCUAAUUUUUAAACCCAUAGCAAUUUAAUCCAAUGCCAAUGAUAGAGCAAAACAUCAUAACAUAGAAAUCCAACGUCGAAUUCCAGAGAGGUUAUACAACAAGUGAAUUCCAGUUUUAAUUCGAGUUUGUUCAUGUCGAAUUUCAAGAAAAUUAAAACUAAUGACGAUGAAGCAUGAGAAGUUUCGAGAGCUGAUGAUUUGACGUUUUGUAGCUGCAGUGAGAAUUUGGAGUUGAUUAAGGAGGAGUUAUACAACAAUGUUGUUGCGGGUUUUAAUGUGUGUGUUUUGAUGUGAUUAAGUAUUUGAAUUUUGAGUUUUCAAUUUUUAUUUUUAUUUUUCUGGGUUUAUAUUGAAGAUUGAUGAAGGUGAUGAAAUUGAAGGAAAAAGAUGGAGAAAAUGAAAGAAAAAUCAUGCGUUGGUGAGUUAUUAUUAGAUUUAAUGGUCUUGCAUGAUCCAAUAGUCUAUUUUGUUUCAAAAUGAUCAAAGAGCUGAAAUUAAUAAGGUCUACAGUUGUUAGCCUGUAAUUCCGACAGGCUCAUUUAAUAUGGUCGACAUUUGAUUGAGCUUUAACUUUGCAGGAAUCGAAGGUUUUCUCAUUACAACUCGAAGAUUUCGACAAGAUGGAAAGCCUAGUGUGCGUAGUCAUAAGUUCGACAAAACAAGGCUGAGAGAGCAAUCGCGUCGAAGUUAAGAAAUGACGGCGGGAUAACACGAUUUCAAGCUUGGAAACGGUUUCCUAAGUGGGAACGUGGGGCAAGCAGUUGUCCAAGAUGGGAGAAGUGUUGAUCAUGGGAUUAGUGGUUCGCCAGUUAGUUAUUUUAGUAUAAAUAAGUGUUUCCAAGCCGGAAAAUGGGUCGCAAAUCAUUUAUAGAAUUCUACAACACUCAAACUACUGACAUCUAAGGAAACGAGUUAUAUAGAAUGUAUGUAAACUGAUUUGUAGAUCACCUUUAUUUUAAUGCAAUGCAUUUAACCUUUCCUUUAAGUUUAUGUGUUGACAAUUUUACCCUUUUCAUUUAACUAUUGCUUUUGCUUGCAAUCUCAAACCUAUCGAGAGACAGUGCCUUUUUGUUUCUAAAGUUGUCCUGCCCUCUAAGUAACCUGAGUGCAUCUGCUGGCCUUUUUCAAACCUUUUUUCGAUCAAAACCUUUGCACAACAUGCCCUUGAGAUCUCUAGUUCGGUCUCGCUUGUGAUAAUCAGAACUAGCUUGUAGUUUGCCGAAACCAUAAACAUUUUGGGUUAAAAUUAACGGUGAGGGACCAAAUUGGCUGACGGUGAGGGACCAAAUUGGCUUACGGAAGCAAAUUUAAGGGACCAAAUCGUAACUUUUGUUAAUUAAGGGACCAAAGUGAAACCUGUAAAUUAAUUAUGGGACCAAAUAUGUAAUUAAACUUAGAUUUUUUAUUUUGAAAGAAAGAUGCUUAUGACAUUUCUUUACCAAUAAUUUGCUCAAUACAACGAGGUACAUUAACAUAGAUAAUGAGACUAGAUAAUAAUGUGGCCACCUCCGUCAAAUGGUGAGCUGCCUUAUUGACUUGUCUUCGAGUAAACUAAACCUUAGAGUUGGUAAACUUGGUGUUUAAGAGAUGGCGACAUGCAGAGAGAAUCUGGCCAAACUCUGUGAUAUCAACAUGACGACCAUUGAGCGCAUCAUUAGUUUUCUUUGAAUCCAAAGUGAAAUCAACACUGUUGAAACCCAUUUCACCCAACCAUUCUAGCGCAUAAAAAAGACCCAAGGCUUCCCCCACCAGAAUUGGACACACAAGGGUAACUGGGAUCACUUUAGCAAGCACAAAAACACAUUCGUCAUCAUGGAUGCAAAUGCCCAUCGUUGUUCUAUUAAAUUGAUCCGAAAAAGAGGCAUCUACUUUACAUUUGAAUCGACCCUGCUGUGGUUUUUGCCACCAAAGUUCAGUCGUACCUGAAGUAACGCUGGUGUUCUAAACUAUGAGAGAGAGAUGUAUCAGCAGUAGCUUGUGGAUGUACCUGCGUCGUCCUAGCUGAAGUGUGAUCAACAUUCACUUAACAAACCUAACCCGAAAUUGCCAUGGAAUUUUUCACAUGGUCACCAUAUAGAGUGGAUAAGGAUUUCUGUUUGUUUUGAUUAGCACAUUUUUAAUGGCCAUAACUCAACCUUGUCCUAAACACUCAUCCAUUAAAUAUUCCAAAAGUAGCAAACUUUUUAUGUUUCAAAUCUAUCACGCGUAUAACUAAAUAUGAAGAUGUCAGGACACAAAUAUCAACCUCAUUGAACUGUCUUAUCACAUACGUUCCUGUCUCUCCCUUUCCCAAUUAUUAGGCUACUAGGCACCAGGGACAUAUUUUCAAGUUGAAACAUUGCGUGCUACCCUCGUCGUGGUGCCCUAAAAUUGUUUCUUAAAUUCCAUCGCUACGUCGUCGUCCUAGACACUCAAUUCAUUUGCACAACUAUUCCUCAGAUAUUGGGUAUUUUUUUUCUUCUUCUCUUAUAUGUCUACAAUGAACGUGAGUGAGUAGACUCUUCUUGUCUUGUGAUUGUUGGAUAAGUCUAAUGACGUAAUCCUAAUCAAACCAAACCAUAAACCCUAAUUUUAUAAAAUCUACUUUCUAAUCUAAUUUCACCAUUUUUAUAAUGAAUUAACAAUUACCAAACUAAGAAGCGAACGCGGAGGGUUUAGUAAUUGUUAAUUCAUCAUCUCAAAUAUCAAUUCAUAAAGCGAACGCGGAACUUUGAUAUUGGAACAAGUGAAAUUAGACAAGGGUUGCGAAACAUGAGAAUAAUCUAGUAAACCUUGAGACAUAUAAAGUUUCGUUCUUCAAGGAUUCUAAUAGCUAUUAACCAUGAGAAUAGGCGUGGUUGCUAGAGGAACAUACUCACUGACUUCAAGAGAAGCUUUAGUUAUUGUGAUGAACCAAUAAUCCCAAGGCUCUUUUUAUUAUUAUUUUCUUUUGAUUAAAAAUCUAAACUUUAUAACUCAAAACUCUUUUCUAAUCAUUGUUGAAAGUUAAUUGAAUUCUUAACUCUCUGUCGGAACGAUACUCUUUUUACUACUUCGGUAGAACCUUGCACUUGCGGUUUUACUCAUCAAUAGGACACGUAAGAAACUAGUCAUUAUUUUUUCUUUUUGUGAAUCACAUAUAUUGUGCACAAAACUAUAUAGAAUAACCUUUCGAGUCAGGUAUGAUCACAACAAUGAAUGAAAAAACUCUUAUUCAAGAGAUUCAACAUUAUUGUCGGCGGAAAUCUAGCCGAAAUUUUGCGAGGUGCCACAAAAAGAAGAAAAAAAUUACAAAUCUUAUCUUGACAAUCUCCAUUCUUGACAAAACUCUCUAAUUAUAAUAAAAAUUGAAAGUGGCAAAACAAGAAAAUAAUUUUGUUUUUGUUUUUGUAUACUUACAAAAAAAUCAAUUUAUCUAUCCACUGAUAAUUUUUUCGUUCAUAUUUAUACAAAUGAUUUUUCACAAAGAAACUUAUUUAGGGUAACCAAGUCUACAAUAUUAGAGUAGUCAAACAUAAAAAAAAAAAGACAUUAUCUUGUAAAAAAAAAUUAACAAAAUGAGGUAGCCAGUAGCACGACAAUUCAACACUACCCUAGGAUGUUUAGUUAAACUGGAAAAGAUUAAUGACCAUCUAAUUCCAAUACUAUUACGUAAACUAAUCAUUUUAAUUGUUGAUUGUAUAUAUCAAUUAAUCGAAAUAUGUAUUAGUAGCAUUCCAUAUUUUUUUUUUAGAAAGCAUUCCCAUAAUAGUUGUAAUAUAUAUAUAUUCGAUGCCUUUAAAAUUUGAGGCAUAUGACACAUCCGAUAUUUGUAAGUUGUCUUUGCACUCUUGAACUCAUCAUACAAUUAUUUUGAAUGCAUCUCAUAAUGGCAUAUACACAGUCAAAUCGGCCUACAAGAUGAGUUUGAGUAUUUCACACCAAAGGUCAAACUAUCAUGUCUUUGGUGAUUAGAAGUUGAUAUGGUCAUUGCGUGUUCCGCCUUAAAUUAAAAAAAUUUGUUGGAGAUUGCUUCGUAGUUGCUUACCCAUGAGGUCUAAUUUGCAAAUUCGUGGAGUCCAUUGUCAGUCAACUUUUGGGGCAAGAUAGAGUCGUACAUGAUGUCAAGUGGUAGUUUUUUAUCUAUUAUCUUUGCCAUUCUUAGAGCGCUUGAAUUGGACAGCCGUGCUAGAUUUGUCACUAUUUUAUAGAGUAUUUGGCGCGCGCGUAAUGCUUGUUUAUGGGAGCAAAAACCUGUCAAUGCACAUGCAUCUUGUGUCCUAGCCCUAUAUAUGGUUCACGAUUACAUGUGCUGUCACCGUCUCAACAAUGAUGUGCAGUCUGAUACUCCAGUUUGGUCUAAACCACAAGCAUAUUGGAUCAAGUGUAACGUUGAUUGUGCCAUUUUCGAAGUUUAAUGAAAAUUUGGUGUUGGUAUAUGUUUUCGAGACAAUCUUGGACAUCUUAUCCAAGCUAACUCAAUGAUCUUUCCUUAUGUGACAACUGCAGCUGAGUGUGAAGCUACCGCUCUACAAUAAGCCCUCCAAAUUGCUCUUGGAAUUCUGGCUAGCUAGCAACAUAAUGUUCUAUGCGAUGUUCCAACACCAAGCACAGAUAACAGAUGUUGAAUGAGAUGUUUAGAACAUCGUGCUAGCAGUAAACAUAAACAAAACAGCAAAAUAAAAGACAAGAAAGUAAAAGGCACAGAGAGUUUGUUAACCCAGUUCGGUGCAACGUCACCUACUCUGGGGGCUACAAAGCCAGGAGGAAAUCCAAUAGUGUAGUCCUUAUUCUCUAGCUCUCAGCAAACUCCUCGUUUACACAAAAGACCUAGGACCUACCCGCCUUGACUUCAACCUAGGAACUCCUAGAUCUGAGAUCCCAUCUCACUCCCUACAACCAAUCACAUCCCCGGUGAUUAUCAGGUUACAAACACAAACAAAUCAGAUGAAGUUACCUUCAAACAAACUACCUAACAUCGUGCUUCACAGCUUUGGUGUAGUACACAAACUACCUAUCUCCGUGCUUCACAACUUAGGAGUAGUGAACAAAUUACAACUUAAUGUAACACAAUCCUUAACAUGUAUCAAGGUGAUACAAGAGUAGUGAACAAAUUACAACUUAAUGUAACACAGUCCUUAACAUGUAUCAAGGUGAUACAAGAAAGGCACACAAUUAACAAUGACUCAAAACCCUAAAAAGGCACUAAUCUUCAAUGGCGGCUUCGGUGAAUGAAUUAGGUCUUGUAGUCUACUGAACCAAUAUGGGUCAGUAGACUUUGUUGGGCUUCAGAACAAAAGUAGAUCCAAGAGCUGAUCCACGUAAUAAAUAUGGAAACUCCUAAAAAGUAGGAACAUCUUUAGGAACAUUUUUAAAAGUUUUAAAAGACAACACAUAAACACUUAUAUCAAUAGUAUUAUCAACAUCAGCAACAUUCAAACUAGACUGAACAACGUUGCCAGACUUAGUCAAAACAGGUGGAACAUUAAUCGACGCAGAGGAAGUUACAAAAGAACUUACUUUAUGAUUUUUGGGUUUCCAUGCUUUCCUAUCUUGAACACACUUACCACUGACCUUUGGUUGAACAUGAGGUUGAGGAUACAAUUUAUAACAGUACAGCCUUAUGUGACCAUAUAUACCACAAUGGUGAUAUAUCCAAGGUGAUUUCUUUUUGUUUUUAGAAUUCUGAUGUUCUUCAGGAUGCUUCAACAUUGGUUUUCUAAUAGAAGAAACAUUUGUUCCUGCAGCACCUACAAAUUUGAUAUAUUUGUCCUGCUUUUGCUUUCUUAUUAACCCAUGGUCUUCUAAGGCAUAAGAAAAAUUCAUGUUCCGUUGUUUCUGGUUUAGAGGUUCAUAAUCAAAACCUAUUCCAUUUGGUUUUCCUUUAACUUGACCUUCUAAAAUUUUAUCCAGAACACCAGUACCAGUUGUCAUCAUCCUUACUUGUUUCUUAACAUGUUCAAGUUGUGAGUUCAGAAGUGUUAUCUCAUCAUUGAGUUCAGAGAUUUUUUCCAGAUGAUUACUUCUUUCAGCUAGCAGUUGACUAUUUAUCUUCUUCUGUUCUACUAGCAUAUUGGAUAACUCAGCACUUCUAGCAUAUAAACCUUUAUAGGAAGCAGCUAACUCAUCAUAAGUUAACUCUUCAUCACAUGAUUCAGUGUCAGAAAAAACUCUACCAGUCAUGGCAGUUACCUGCUUAGUAGAUUCACUUUCAUCAUCUCUUUCUGGGACAUCUUUAUCAGACUUACAACUUCCUGUCAAAGCUGUUACACGAUUGGAAUAUUCAUCAUUGUUUCUAUCCCUUCUUUGAGACUCACUGUUGAUGUUGGACGAGAUGUUCUGAACAUUUGGCCUUGACUUUUUUUCAAUCAUCUCUAACACUUUGUUAAAUUCACUACCAAGACGCAUAAUUGCAUCUAAAAUAAUUUCAUCAGUCUCCAUUUCACAUUGAACAUCUUCCUCAUCGGUGUUAGAAACGAAGGCUAUGUUUUUCUUCUUAAAUCCAUUAGCUAAUUCAAAAGUUUGAAGUGAUCCUAUUAGCUCAUCAACCUUCAUACUGGAGAUGUCUUGUGCUUCUUUAAUCGCAGUCACCUUCAUAUCAAAUCUCUUGGGUAGAGAUCUGAGAAUUUUUCUAACAAGCUUUUCAUCAGAAAUUUUCUCUCCAAGUGAGUCAAAAGAAUUAUCAAUAUCAAGAAUGUUCAAGUAAUAAUCAUGUAUGUUCUCAUCCUCCAUCAUCUUUAGAUUCUCAAAUUUUGUGGUAAGAAAUUGAAGUCCUAAACUUUUUACUGUAGAUGUACCUUCAUGAGCAGUUUUAAGAAUUUCCCAAGCAUCCUUAGCCACAGUGCAUGUGCUAAUUAACCUGAACAUAUUCUUGUCAACACAUGUGAACAAAGUGUUCAAGGUUUUGGAGUUUCCAAGAGCAAGUACAUCUUCAUCUUUAGACCAUUCUUCUUCUGGCUUUAAGGUAGUUGUUGCCUUUCAAUCUUUGUCCAUGACAACAGGGUGUUCCCAUCCUUUAAUAAUAGCUUUCCACGUUUUGUUAUUAAUGAAUUUGAGAAAAGCCACCAUUCGAGCCUUCCAAUAAUCAUAGUUGGUGCCAUCCAAAAUUGGUGGUCUACUGCUAGACACUCCUUCCAUAUUCUAGAAUUUAUCUUCCCUGGAGCUCACCCUAAAAAACAGGCAGGGUGCCUGCUCUGAUGCCAAUUGAAAUUCUGGUUGGCUAGCAACAGAAUGUUCUAUGCGAUGUUCCAACACCAAGAACAGAUAACAAAUGUUGAAUCAGAUGUUUAAAACAUCGUGCUAGCAGUAAUCAUAUACAAAACAGAAAAAUAAAAGACAAGAAAGUAAAAAGCACAGAGAGUUUGUUAACCCAGUUCGGUGCAACGUUACCUACUCAGGGGGCUACCAAGCCAGGAGGAAAUCCACAAGUGUAGUCCUUAUUCUCUAGCUCUCAGCAAACUCCUCAUUUACACUAAAGACCUAGGACCUACCCAUCUUGAGUUCAACCUAGGAACUCAUAGAUCUGAGAUCCCAUCUCACUCCCUACAACCAAUCACAACCCCUGUGAUUAUCAGGUUACAAACACAAACAAAUCAGAUGAAGUUAACUUCAAACAAACUACCUAACACCGUGCUUCACAGCUUUGGUGUAGUACACAAACUACCUAUCUCCAUGCUUCACAGCUUUGGAGUAGUGAACAAAUUACAACUUAAUGUAACAUAAUCCUUAACAUGUAUCAAGGUGAUACAAGAAAGACUCAAUUAACAAUGACUCAAAACCCUAAAAAGGCACUAAUCUUCAAUGGCGGCUUCGGUGAAUGAAUUAGGUCUUGUAGUCUUGUAUAUAUACUGAAGCAAUAUGGGUCAGUAGACUUUGUUGGGCUUCAGAACAAAAGUAGAUGCAAGAGCUGAUCCACGUAAUAAAUAUGGAAACUCCUAAAAAGUAGGAACAUCUUUAGGAACAAUCCAAACACAUCUAAAGUUUCCUAAAUUGUUGUCACAACUUUAGGAAAUAACAAACCAACUGAUUUUGUACCAAAAAGCUCGCAGCUUGACCAACAAGAAAUAAGGCGUGGUUCCCCUAAAAAGAUAAAACAUGCAUAAAUCUUGGCACAACUUCAGGGCACACUGAACUGUGCUAGGAUGUUGGAACAUCGUAUCCAACAUCACACAUGAAUAUUUGUUUUAGCAAAAGUGAGGCCAACACACAAAUAUCCAACAAUCUCCCCCUUUGGCAAAUUUUUGGCUAAAACAAACUGAGGCCAAUCCAAACAAAGAUGAGAGAUAACACAAAUCCAUUUCUUCAAUCAACACAAACAAACAACCACGAAGAACGGAACACAUCUUGCAGAACUUACUAAAGAGAUACUGCAAAUAUAAUUCUUCAGUCACUUCAUAAGCAUUCAGACUUGAAAAAAUAACAUAACUUCCAAAUUCUACUUCCAUUAUUUUUCACAAAAACUCUUCAAAAGGAAAUACGUAGAUAAGAGAGAAUGAGGUACCACUAAAGAAGUUUAUUCUCUAAUUAUAGGACUUUGCUUUUGUCUAAUGCUAGUUAUGCUCUAACUUAUGUUAGGAGACAAGCUAACAUAGUCGCUCAUAACCUUACUCGAACGUCCAUAUUAUAUGCUAGUCCCACUAUUUUCUUUCAUCCUCCCAAUUGUAUUUACUCUAAUAUUUUUGAUGAAAUGAAAUGAGUUACCUUUCCUAAAAAAAAAUUGAGGCAUAUGCAGUCGUUUUUCCGUACACAACCACCCUGUUCAUUUGCAUGAGUAAGGCCGACUGACAAUGCACACUUUUCUUGGGCUCCACGCAAACAUAAAUCACAUAUAUUACAAAAUAUACUACAGCAAUUAAGGUUGUCCUGUGGGAAUAAUUACAAAAAUAAAACUGUUUCAAUAUGUCCUUAUAUAAAUUAAGCUAGAAUAACUGCUCAAUGGUUUAGAAAGAUGCAAGUGGUUCAGCGUCAAAUGAGUGGAAUAAGUUGAAUGACAUGGAAACUACGUAGUGACUAGAUCUUACACAAUUUAAUUAUGGAGAAAUGGAAUAUCUAGGGUUCAAACCCUGACUUCUAUAUAUAAUAUAUACAAUAUCCCUAUCAACUCAGUUAAACUCACGAGGAUAUCACAUGACAACUUCUAAUCCCUUCAUUCUCAUUCAAUGAUUUAGCCAAUUAUUACCACAGCAACCGUAUCUUGGUGUUGAAGGUUUUCUCCUCCACUAGUGGCCACAAAAUUACCACAUGUAGCAAGUCCAAAAAUAAAAUUUACCAAAACUUAAUUUACUUUAUGAACAAAUAUAUUCUGGAUCUUAUCAAAUGAUUGAUAUUUCAUUUGUCUAAGAUGUGUAUGGUACAUUUAUUUCAAGACAUUAGUUUUAAAUAAUAUCACAACAACUUAUAUUGAAAGAGAAGUUAUGUAAGUAUUAAUUUUGAUUCUAUUUUAUAUAAUUUUCAGUUAUUUAGGUUGUUCAAUUUUUUUUUCUUCCAAUUAUGCUAUUUAAUUUUUUGAUUCUCAACUUUAUAUUUAAUACUAACUACAACAUAAAUUUUGUUUUAUAUAAUAUUAUUUAUUUUGGUGGCCCACCCGAAAAAUAUUUAGAUAUUGUUUACAUGUAGGCACCCUUUUUUUUUUUUUUUUUUUUUUUUUUUUUUUUUUACAGAGAGGUCUCGUUUAUCUACACUUUAUGACACAUCAAACGUUCCUUCAAUUGAGGAUAGAUUCACUCUUUGAAAUAUGCUUGUAGGGGUUAGUAGUCCCAAGGAUUUUGCAACCCAGCCUGAAUGCAUAAAUUUCGAAUCUUUUGGAUGAACGAUGCUUAGAGCCCUUUUUUUCUUUUGUUUUCUUUCAUAUCCAUGUCCUUUUUCUCUCUCUUUAAAAUAAUGAUUCUACGAGAAUGUAAAAAAGGAUAUUGUAACCCUUGAAUAUAAAAUUCUUCAAUAUUAGGGUUGGAAUAAGUGUUUUCAGGUGUUUAUUUGGGUUCAGUUGUGGGAAGAGAAUGUGUGCUGGCAGAGGGUUUUGAUGGUUUUUUGGAGUUUUUUGGUACGAGUAGCGGACGAUAGGUGUUUAGAACUUGUUUUGGUAGCCAUCAACUAGUUGGGUGGUGUAUUUAGUGGUGUUUUGAUGUAGGAGACGUAAGAGGUUUUAUGUUGGAUGUUUCGCCCGUAUACGAUGCCUUUUACUGUGUUCUUUCUGUUUUACUAGUCUAUAUCUUCUUGAAUAGAGACUAUGUUAUUAAUAAAUUUUUCCGUUCAAUUUUUUUUUUUCUUUCAUCAAUAUCAAAAGAAAGUAGAUUAAGCAAGACCUACUUGUUGCUUUGUAUCUAUCUAAUUGUUUUUCUCCAUACAGAUAUCUACCUUAGACCCUUGCAUUUACAAACUUCCAACUAAUUGAGUCACAAAGAAAAGGUCUUUGUGCCUUUCCACGUUAUCCAUCACAACCACCCAAUCUUGGAGACAUUUUUCCAUUCUCAUUAUUUAUAACUACCAGCCUAAUUAAUCAGUUAAGUGGGAGACAUUGGCUAUCAAAUUAAGAAAGAGUCAAAAUGAAGGUAUGUCUAAACUCUUAACAAUUUAUGAUGAAAAUGUUCUUUCAAACCUUUGGCUUGAUCCACACCUUUUACCUCCUGCAGUUGCUUCAAUGGGUGCAUCGAAAACUUCGGCAGACCAAUCUUGAUCCCUUUAAAGAUUUCACAAUUGGUAGUCAGCUGUUCUUAUUAUUCUUAUCUUUUUUUUUUCCUCCGAAAUUCUCUCUUUCUUUUCUUUCAUGGACGAGAGUGAGAAGGGAAAGGGAGGUUGACAAUGCAAAUGUUCUCUGAUGUGUACGAUUUUAUUUUUGCUGAAUAGGGUUUUAGAAACUCAAGAUAGAAUUAACCAUCAUUUCUAAUUAUAGCCGUAGAUUUUCCAUACUGAUAUAAUUUUACGAGAAUGUUCGAUAAAAAAAAAAAAAUAUAUAUAUAUAUCAAUUAUAUAAUUUACUAAUCUGUGUGCAAAAACCUUAAACUACGGAGUAUAUGGAAUGGAAGGAAUAUCAUCGAAUACGCCUUGACACAAUUAAAUUGUCACAUUGAUGGCCGGUCACUCUCAAGGACCCCAGUUCAUUUAGAUAAAUAUGAAGAUAGCAUAUAUAAGAUAGCCUCUCCAUUGCCACCACGGCACCACCCUACCACUAUUGUUCUAUAUUCCUCUUUCUAGGGUUUAAGAGUAGCACAAGCAAGAAAUAAAUGUUUCACCAGGUGAUAUAGAUUUUAUAUUUAUCUUUAAUUGCUAAUUUCACAAAUUUAGUAUUUUCUUUUGAAACUCCAAUUUCAGGAAAUCCUUGUGCUUGUCUUACAGUGCAACUAACACUUGACACCAAAUACUCUCAGACAAAGCCAAGUUUCAGUUCAAUUAACGAAUCCGAUUUCUUCAAGCCGCAUGAUCAUGAAAGUCAAAAAUUUUGGUUCAGAGAAGAUAAAUCACAAGAAGAAACAUCUGAAGUCAUCUCUGAGAAAUUUCAAGGUUUUUUGACAAUUGGAACACUCGGUGCAGAACCAGCAACACCAACGUUUGCCUCUCCUUUAGGUAACAUACCUAUGAAAGAUGCAGCCGUGACAGAGACUCAACUGAAGCUCAUAAGUUACGAGCUUGAGAAAUUCGUUGAGGCUGAUGAAGAAUGUUUCUACGAAUCAUCUGGAAGAAUAAGCUUCCGUAGCAACGUCACACUUAGCAGAAAGAAAACAGAUGGACUCGAAACUGAAGAUCUUGGAAACAAGGUUAUAUGUCCACUGCAAGAAUAUUUAUUGGGGUCAUCCUUCGAGAUACGAGAGAAAACAGAAGUCAGGAUAGAGAGGGCAUCAGUAAGAGAGACACAAGUAAAGCAAGGUCGUAGGUCUGCCUUGCAUAUUAUCAAAAAAAUGUCGAAUAUGGUCCUCAGUUCUUCAAAAAGCUGUAACACCUAUGGGAAUACUGCUGAUCAUGCUACUUCAACCAAUGAAAAGCUGUGUAAGGUUGGUCCCUAUUACUAGAUAUUCUAUUACAUAAUUAACAACACUUACUUGAUUAACUCACAAGAAAUUAAGUAGGUUGGUUAGUUAAAUUUAGUUAGUAACAAUAAUUAAUUUGCUUUAUUUUUCAAAAUUAUCCUUAAAAGUUUUAGGACUCAUUAUUUCACUCUUUGCACCUAGUUUAGCUAUCAAUCUUGAACACACAUGAAAAAAGUCAUAAUAUGUUUGGUUUAUUCAUCUGGGUGUGCAGGUUCUAUAUAAGUUUCACAGAAAAGUCUUUCCUAAAGACACCAAAAAUGCAAAUAAUUUUACUAAAUCCCACAAAGGUAAGAUUAAAAGUACUCCUCGUGACUGCUUCGAUGAAUAUGAGAACGGAGACAUCACAUAUCCGAAUACUGGCAGAAGAUUUCAUUUAGAUAGCAAGUCAAAGAACUGGUCUAAACAUUGCGAGAUAAACUGGAAGCUACCGCAAGAUGGCCUAAGCAGUGGUUCGCUUGGGAACAAUGAGCACUGGAUCAAUACAGAUCCAGAGUGUAAGUGCUAUAUAUCUCUAAAAACUAAUUGUUCAGAAACACAAAUUUCAUUAAGUCUGAAAAUCAGAGCGAUUUGGUGGCUUAAGCAAACAUAUGAUAGGGUUUGCAUCUGCUUUGAUUCUUGAUAGAGUAGUAUUUGCCACUUGUAAAAGAAAUUUUAUUUUCAGCAUCAAUAUAGGCUCAUAUUAUCCUAAAAUUAUUUAUUUAACAUAAAUAUUUUUUAGGUUAUAACAUCAUGUACUUAUUAAUACUUACAAGGAAUUUUUCAAUCAAGGAAAAAAUACUUGCAAGUUACAAUGAAUAAGAAACAUUUUCAAGCAUAACUCCAUCCUCCCAUUGUCUUUAUCUUGCCCUUGCAAAAUAUUGUAAAUACUCAAACCCUACCAAUGUGCAAAAUAUACCUUCUUUAAAAGUGAUAUAUAAUAAUAUGUAGCAUACGACAAAUUUCAAACUCAAUCCCCGACAGGUUUUUCUAUUUCAAUGCAAACCAAUAUACUAUGGACUAUGGAGCAUCAUAUUAUUUGCAUUGCAUUAUAAUUGGAAUAUACUUAUGUAUUUUUGACUAAUUUGCAACUGUUGGUUUUGCAGAUUUGGUGCUGGAGCUGUAGCAACUUAUGCUGAAUGAAAGUGUAAAUAAAUUGAGCCUGUAUAAGAGACUUCUCAAGAGUAGUAUUUCAUAGUGUGGUUGUGUUAUGCAUAUACAUUUGAGUUUAAGCUGAUAAGAUUCAAUAAACCUAUACAUUUUCAUGAAAGCUUCCAAGGGAGUAGUUACUCUGCAGUCAAUCUUAUUUGGAAGAUAUAUAGUUUCAUGUGAACUCUUAAGUUAGUCCCAAAUAAACCUGUUAUGUUUGUAGUUUUGGUUAUUUUUACAAGUUUCAUGUGAAAGAGCCAUUUUUGCAUCACGUGUGAGAUAAAUAUAAGCACUCUGCAGGCAAACUUGAGAGCUUAAUGACAGAUAGCUCACAACAAAAUACGUGCAUUAGAGACCAUUCAAGAGGGCAUGCAAGUUACCCUCUGGUAAACCAAGAUGGAAGUAUUGGUGGUGAGCAGUUAAAAUAUAAAAGAA
rnacentral:lncRNA from 1 species